rnacentral:tRNA from 1 species
GGAGUGGUGGCUGAGAGGCCGAAGGCACUCGUUUGCUAAAUGAGCGGGCUCAGAAAUGGGUCCCGGGGGUUCGAAUCCCCCCCACUCCGCCA